rnacentral:rRNA from 1 species
UACGUAGGGGGCUAGCGUUGUCCGGAAUCAUUGGGCGUAAAGCGCGUGUAGGCGGCUAGAUAAGUCUGCUCUGAAAGCCCGGGGCUCAACCCCGGGAGGCGGGUGGAUACUGUCUAGCUCGAGUCCGGAAGAGGAGUGUGGAAUUCCUGGUGUAGCGGUGAAAUGCGCAGAUAUCAGGAAGAACACCAAUGGCGAAGGCAGCACUCUGGGACGUGACUGACGCUGAGACGCGAAAGCGUGGGGAGCAAACAGG